UCUGUGAUAUACGUGUGUGUGUAUGUGUAUAUAUAUAUAGCAUAUGUGUAUACACACACACACACACACACACACACACACACAUAU
rnacentral:miRNA from 1 species